rnacentral:rRNA from 1 species
UACGUAGGCAGCAAGCGUUGUUCGGAAUUACUGGGCGUAAAGAGUGUGUAGGCGGUUUUCUAAGUUCGGUGUGAAAUCUCCCGGCUUAACUGGGAGGGUGCGCCGAAAACUGGAAGGCUUGAGUGCCGGAGAGGAUAGCGGAAUUCCUGGUGUAGCGGUGAAAUGCGCAGAUAUCAGGAGGAACACCGUGUGGCGAAAGGCGGCUCUGGGCCACUAACUGACGCUGAGUACAGAAAGCUGGGGGAGCGAAACAGG